GAUGAACGCUAGCGGCAGGCUUAAUACAUGCAAGUCGAGGGGCAGCACAGGUAGCAAUACUGGGUGGCGACCGGCAAACGGGUGCGGAACACGUACACAACUUACCUUCUGGUGGGGGAUAGCCUUUGGAAACGGAGAUUAAUACCCCAUAUUAUAUAUGAGCUGCAUGGUUUGUAUAUUAAAGAUUUAUUGCCGGAAGAUGGGUGUGCGUAUGAUUAGGUAGUUGGCGGGGUAAUGGCCCACCAAGCCGACGAUCAUUAACUGGUGGGAGAGCACGACCAGUCAAACGGGCACUGAGACACGGGCCCGACUCCUACGGGAGGCAGCAGUAAGGAAUAUUGGUCAAUGGACGGAAGUCUGAACCAGCCAUGCCGCGUGAGUGAAGAAGGCCUUCGGGUUGUAAAGCUCUUUUGUCCGGGAGGAAAUCCCGCAACCCAAUACGUUGCGGGGAUGACAGUACUGGAAGAAUAAGCACCGGCUAACUACGUGCCAGCAGCCGCUGUAAUAC
rnacentral:rRNA from 1 species